ACUGGGCGUAAAGAGCUCGUAGGUGGUUUGUCGCGUUGUUCGUGAAAACUCACAGCUUAACUGUGGGCGUGCGGGCGAUACGGGCAGACUAGAGUACUGCAGGGGAGACUGGAAUUCCUGGUGUAGCGGUGGAAUGCGCAGAUAUCAGGAGGAACACCGGUGGCGAAGGCGGGUCUCUGGGCAGUAACUGACGCUGAGGAGCGAAAGCGUGGGGAGCGAACAGGAUUAGAUACCCUGGUAGUCCACGCCGUAAACGGUGGGUACUAGGUGUGGGUUUCCUUCCUUGGGAUCCGUGCCGUAGCUAACGCAUUAAGUACC
rnacentral:rRNA from 1 species